rnacentral:rRNA from 1 species
UACAUGUGGGGCAAGCGUUGUUCGGAAUUACUGGGCGUAAAGGGCGCGUAGGCGGGAUGGCAAGUCGGUCGUGAAAUCCCUCGGCUCAACCGAGGAACGUCGAUCGAUACUGCUGUUCUUGAGGAUUGCAGAGGAGACUGGAAUUCCCGGUGUAGCGGUGAAAUGUGUAGAGAUCGGGGAGGAACACCGGUGGCGAAGGCGGGUCUCUGGGCAAUUCCUGACGCUGAGGCGCGAAAGCGUGGGGAGCAAACGGG